rnacentral:rRNA from 1 species
UACGAAGGUGGCGAAUGUUGUUCGGAUUUACUGGGCGUAAAGCGUCCGCAGGUGGUUUAUUAAGUCAGGUGUGAAAGCCCCGCGCUCAACGUGGGAACUGCACUUGAAACUGGUAAACUAGAAGGCGAGAGAGGUGGGCGGAAUUACUGGUGUAGCAGUGAAAUGCGUAGAUAUCAGUAGGAACACCCAUGGCGAAGGCAGCUCACUGGCUCGCCCUUGACACUCAUGGACGAAAGCGUGGGGAGCAAACAGG